rnacentral:rRNA from 1 species
GACGAACGCUGGCGGCGUGCUUAACACAUGCAAGUCGAACGAUGAUGCCAGCUUGCUGGUGGAUUAGUGGCGAACGGGUGAGUAACACGUGGGUGAUCUGCCCCGAACUUUGGGAUAAGCCUGGGAAACUGGGUCUAAUACCGGAUAGUACCUUCCCUUGCAUGGGGGUUGGUGGAAAGCUCCGGCGGUUUGGGAUGGGCCCGCGGCCUAUCAGCUUGUUGGUGGGGUAAUGGCCUACCAAGGCGACGACGGGUAGCCGGCCUGAGAGGGCGACCGGCCACACUGGGACUGAGACACGGCCCAGACUCCUACGGGAGGCAGCAGUGGGGAAUAUUGCACAAUGGGCGCAAGCCUGAUGCAGCGACGCCGCGUGAGGGAUGACGGCCUUCGGGUUGUAAACCUCUUUCACCAGGGACGAAGCGUGAGUGACGGUACCUGGAGAAGAAGCACCGGCCAACUACGUG